rnacentral:rRNA from 1 species
GAUGAACGCUGGCGGCGUGCCUAAUACAUGCAAGUCGAGCGAAUGGAUUAAGAGCUUGCUCUUAUGAAGUUAGCGGCGGACGGGUGAGUAACACGUGGGUAACCUGCCCAUAAGACUGGGAUAGCUCCGGGAAACCGGGGCUAAUACCGGAUAACAUUUUGAACCGCAUGGUUCGAAAUUGAAAGGCGGCUUCGGCUGUCACUUAUGGAUGGACCCGCGUCGCAUUAGCUAGUUGGUGAGGUAACGGCUCACCAAGGCAACGAUGCGUAGCCGACCUGAGAUGGCGGUCGGCCACACUGGAACUGAGACACGGCCCAGACUCCUACGGGAGGCAGCAGUAGGGAACCUUCCGCAAUGGACGAAAGUCUGACGGAGCAACGCCGCGUGAGUGAUGAGGGCUUUCGGGUCGUAAAACUCUGUUGUUAGGGAAGAACAAGUGCUAGUUGAAUAAGCUGGCACCUUGACGGUACCUAACCAGAAAGCCACGGCUAACUACGUGCCAGCAGCCGCAGUAA